rnacentral:rRNA from 1 species
AUUGAACGCUGGCGGCAGGCCUAACACAUGCAAGUCGAACGAGUGGCGGACGGGUGAGUAAUGUCUGGGAAACUGCCUGAUAGAGGGGGAUAACUACUGGAAACGGUAGCUAAUACCGCAUACUAUCCGUUGUGCCCAGAUGGGAUUAGCUUGUGGGUGGGGUAACGGCGCACCAAGGCGACGAUCUCUAGCUGGUCUGAGAGGAUGACCAGCCACACUGGAACGGAGCCACGGCGCAGACUCCUACGGGAGGCAGCAGUGGGGAAUAUUGCACAAUGGGCGCAAGCCUGAUGCAGCCAUGCCGCGUGUAUGAAGAAGGCCUUCGGGUUGUAAAGUACUUUCAGCGGGGAGGCGUUACCCGCAGAAGAAGCACCGGCUAACUCCGUGCCAGCAGCCGCGGUAAUAC